rnacentral:rRNA from 1 species
AUUGAACGCUGGCGGCAGGCCUAACACAUGCAAGUCGAACGAGUGGCGGACGGGUGAGUAAUGUCUGGGGAACUGCCCGAUGGAGGGGGAUAACUACUGGAAACGGUCGCUAAUACCGCAUACCAUCGGAUGUACCCAUAUGGGAUUAGCUAGUAGGGGGGGUAACGGCUCACCUAGGCGACGAUCCCUAGCUGGUCUGAGAGGAUGACCAGCCACACUGGAACUGAGAAACGGUCCAGACUCCUACGGGAGGCAGCAGUGGGGAAUAUUGCACAAUGGGCGCAAGCCUGAUGCAGCCAUGCCGCGUGUAUGAAGAAGGCCUUCGGGUUGUAAAGUACUUUCAGCGGGGAGGCGUUACCCGCAGAAGAAGCACCGGCUAACUCCGUGCCAGCAGCCGCGGUAAUUC